rnacentral:ncRNA from 3 species
CGAAAGUCGAUGAAAAAGAGAGUAACGAUGGUUUAGUCAACAAAGCGACCUGGGGAUUGGUGAGAGCCUGGGCUGACAAACGUCGCGAAACGCACUUUUGAGAUGCUAUCCGAAACGAGAGUAGGCAUAGCCGGAGGGAACCGUUAUCACCAUAAAGCGGUCUGCAUCAUGCAGGCAAGAAGAGUGGUACCGCGGGAAUUCCCGUCUCUUUG